UAUGUUUCAGUUUCCAUGUUUGUCAGCUCCCUAGAUUCGUGUUUUCUCUUAUGCUUCAGAUGGUGUCUAAGAUUUAUUUCCAUUAGGUACGUUUCCAUUUCAAUAUUCUUCAAUGUCUCAAUAUUCAUAAUAGCAGAUGCCCUUUUUUUCUUCCUUCCUAAUUUAUUUACCGGUUGAAGUUUGUUGCAGUCUUAUUUGUAUUGGAUAAAUAUGAGGGAUAUUUAUGUAUAAUAUUCUACUUCGAAGCUACUCAGUCAGUCAAGGUAGCAUGUUCUUCAUUUCGGUUAAAUCUUUUCGUCUGAGCUAAAAAGAUAAUGUUAUGGGCUUUCUCUUUUGCAUGUUGUUGGGAUAUUGAUKGUGGCCGUUGGAAUUUUUGUCCAUCCCUCAAAACAUAUUUUCUCCAAAAUUUUUAUUUCGCUCUCUUAAAUUUGCCAUUCCAGCCUCUUUUCUCCCUUCGAAAUUUUGUCCAUUUCUUAUACCAUUGCUUUGAAGAAUUUUUCCUCUUACUGAACUUUUUGUUGUGUGAUUUUUUGAAAGCAAUUUUUGAAAAUAAAACUUGUUUACCAGUAGUAGUAAGUUUUAUAUGAUACGUCUUAGCUUUUAACAUUGUAUUUYAGAUGGAUGAUGGUUGAAUCAACGAACCUACCGGUGCUUUGUGUUCGUGGAACAGAGAUGGAUGAUGGUUGAAAAAACAAACCUMCUGGWGCUUUGUGUUCGGGGAACAAGAUUAUUUUGUUCGAGGUCUGUUGCAGUUUGAGGGCUUCUUAGAAUUGCAAAUAAUUGGGAGUCAAUUAGGCAAAUAUGGAUCAGUAUGCAACUCUUCCCAGUUUGCUGUAUUCUUUUAUCGUUUUCAUUGCCUGCAAACUCAGAAAAUCGAUGAACUAUCAUAGAUUCAGUUGUCUUGAGGUCAGAAGGACAUUGCAUCACACUAAGGGCAUAUGGAGGGUUGGUAAUCUCUUAGCUCUCAAUUUGGCAGUUGGCUUCUUCUCCACGCACGCUCCAACGGCUAUAAGUACGGAGUCGCUUCUGGUUGGUUUGAGAAACGUCCCCUCCAUCGUUCGCUUUGUUUUCCUCGAUCUCAUUUAUGGGUUUCCAGUUAAGGUUUUCUCUUCUUCACUCUCUCGCUCAUAUCAGUCGAUUAUCGAUCUUGGAAGUACAUAAAAUUGGACUCCAUUUUUCUCUGUUCACCUUCCAGUUUUUUCGUCUCUGUCUUCGGAGCCCUAAAUCCUCCUCUUGAUUAGAUCCUGCCGGAACCCUAAAUCGUUCAUUUUAUCACAUUCCGAUGGAAGUUUUAAUCGUUCUCUUUGUUAGAUCCCACAGUGACCAUAAAUCGUUCUCUUGUUUAUCUCCCCUACACCUCAUGAAACGAUAAUUCCCUCCUCCCACGUCUGAAAAUCUAUGGAAACCACAAUCUCAUAAUAUUGGGACGGCCAAUAUCUCUGAUCCAAAGUUGGCCGCUUUGAAACUCGAUCACCCAGGAUGAGAUGUCGACAGAGUGGAGGUGUUCGCUUCGACCGCAGUGAAGUUUGCCGAUUGAUCAAAAUUUUAACGUCGGCGCAGAAAUCUCAUCCCAAAGCAUCAUCCUGAGAUCGUUCGACACAGGAGGCAACUCCAUUCUGAUUAUUUUUGGGCGGUUCAGAUGGGUUUUGUGAAUUUGGGUAUUGGAGUCUCUGUGGAAUGGAUCGGGAUCAAUGCCACUGAAAUAGUUUCUGCACGUCCCUGUUGUGUAUGGAUAAUGAUCCUUCCUGCCUCGGAAAACAUGCUUCCGACUUGCCUACCGGUGUGCUGAGAUUGUGAAAAUAUUUGGAAACAAGGCUUCGAGGGUUUAUGGGCAAAUGAAUUCUGUGCCAUUUCUCACUUUGCCAACGAGAAAAUUGAUAAAGCAGUAGGUGGCGUUAUUGGCUAUGCCGAACCAUGGCCUACUUCUUGCUUUUCCUUCCAAUGGAAGAGGGAUCCCACCCAAAUGGGUCACUACCAUAGGGUACGGACUAUCACCCCCCUCUCCCCUUUCUUCUUGAGAGAACAUCCACUGCCACUUCAACGAAAACAUGGAAGCAAGAAAAAUGCUAAAUUCACAGGUCGAACCAUGGCCUACUUGGUAAACCAGUUGGUAUUUUUGGCUAUGUCGAGCCAUGGCCUACUUGCUUUUCCUUCAGGUGGAAGAGGGAUCCCAACCAAACGGGUCACUACAAUUGGAUAAGAACUAUCACCCCCUCCCCCCUUUCUUCACGAGAGAACAUCCACUGACACUUCAACGAAAACAUCGAAGCAAGAAAAUGCUAAAUUCACAGGUGAAAGGAAAGUUUAUUUUGGAUGUUUUAGUUCAUGAAGAUCUCCCUACUACGGGGAAAGGGAAGGGCAAACAGGUGUAUACUCUACAACAAGAACAAGCAAGGAUGAACCCUCUUCAAAGAGUAUGAAGCAGCUUGAGUUAAGUUAUUGCUGGAAUUAGCCAGGGGUUCUACCAUUACCAGAUCUCGGAGCUAGACCGACCAAGAAAAUGAUGGCAGUGGAAUGGAGCUAUCUACUCUUGAGGAAUAGACAAUUCCCGAUGACCUUGUUUAAUUUCAAGCACAUAUACAUUGGGGGAGAGCAGGGAAACCCAAUUACACUGCUAAGGGAUAUUUAUUCUCCCCGUCUCUGGCCAUCAAAGUGCCUUUUUUGUAUCCUUUCAUAUGUCAUAUUAGUUUUUUGUAGGACAAUGAUGUUAUUAUUUUCAAUUCCUGUUUUGCAAUGCCAUAUUUGUUUCCUAAUGCGCUCCACAAUCAUUUAGUAUAGCAUGAUUGAAUGGUUCAACUGGUAGAAUUGUUCACCAUUCUCAUGUGUUUUGAUUGUUUACAGCUUUCUUUUCUCCCGUAAAGGUGUUGUCUUUAGCCAUCGACACUCAAACUAGCUUUUGCUCAUAUGCCCUAUCAUCUAAAUUGAUGGAUCAUUUGGUAA